AUCCUGGCUCAGGAUGAACGCUAGCGGCAGGCUUAACACAUGCAAGUCGAGGGGUAUAUUUCUUCGGAGAUAGAGACCGGCGCACGGGUGCGUAACGCGUAUGCAAUCUACCUUUUACAGAGGGAUAGCCCAGAGAAAUUUGGAUUAAUACCUCAUAGCAUUGCAGGAUGGCAUCAUUCAGCAAUUAAAGUCACAACGGUAAAAGAUGAGCAUGCGUCCCAUUAGCUAGUUGGUAAGGUAACGGCUUACCAAGGCUACGAUGGGUAGGGGUCCUGAGAGGGAGAUCCCCCACACUGGUACUGAGACACGGACCAGACUCCUACGGGAGGCAGCAGUGAGGAAUAUUGGACAAUGGGCGCAAGCCUGAUCCAGCCAUGCCGCGUGCAGGAUGACGGUCCUA
rnacentral:rRNA from 1 species